rnacentral:tRNA from 1 species
GCCCUCGUAGCUCAGGGGAUAGAGCAACCGCCUCCUAAGCGGUUGGUCCCAGGUUCGAAUCCUGGCGAGGGCG